AGGUUGCAGCAGCACUACCUCCCUCUACUGCUAAACUAGUUAUAGUUGUAGUUUAAUGGUGUUAUUGAACUAUCAAACACAGCCUCCUCUGUCUCUCUAUCUAUGUUAAGAUGCAACUGCAUUUUGGAGUGGCGCUCACUUGAAGGGAAUUUGGUGGUAGAAAUUAAAUCAAAAGCUCUGAUGUAACAGCAGAUGACGUCGUUGAUUGUAAUCCACACCGGAUGUCGAACUGGUCAAUUGCUAUAUGUGGUGGUGUUGCUGCUCUCGGCAAUCCACGUGUGUUCUUGUAAUUUGCCUUCAUUUUCCAAUUGUAACUUUGUUCCUCCUGCGUAUUGAGAAAAUAAUAAUAAUAAAUCUUUUUAGUGAAAAA